rnacentral:rRNA from 1 species
GACGUAGGGCGCGAGCGUUAUCCGGAAUUAUUGGGCGUAAAGAGCUCGUAGGCGGUUUGUCGCGUCUGCCCGUGAAAAGUCCGGGGCUCAACUCCGGAUCUGCGGUGGGUACGGGCAGACUAGAGUGAUGUAGGGGAGACUGGAAUUCCUGGUGUAGCGGUGAAAUGCGCAGAUAUCAGGAGGAACACCGAUGGCGAAGGCAGGUCUCUGGGCAUUAACUGACGCUGAGGAGCGAAAGCAUGGGGAGCGAACAGG